UACAGAGGUCCCAAGCGUUACUGAGAAUCACUGGGCUUAAAGGGCGCGUAGGCGGGCCGCCAAGUCUGUGGUGAAAUCCCCCGGCUCAACCGGGGAACGGCCGCGGAUACUGGAGGUCUCGAGGGAGGUAGGGGCAUGCGGAACUACGGGUGGAGCGGUGAAAUGCGUUGAUAUCCGUAGGAACUCCGGUGGCGAAGGCGGCGUGCUGGACCUCUUCUGACGCUGAGGCGCGAAAGCCAGGGGAGCGAACGGG
rnacentral:rRNA from 1 species